ACGUGAAACCUUGUGGGAAGCAGGGAGGACCACCUCCCAAGGCUAAAUACUACCUGAUGACCGAUAGUGAAGCAGUACCGUGAGGGAAAGGUGAAAAGAACCCCGGGAGGGGAGUGAAAUAGAACCUGAAACCGUGUGCCUACAACCGCUCAGAGCCCCUUAUGAGGGUGAUGAGGUGCUUUUUGUAGAACGAGCCAACGAGUUACGGUAUGUAGCAAGGUUAAGUACUUAAGGUACGGAGCCGAAGGGAAACCGAGUCUGAAUAGGGCGACUAGUUGCAUGCCGUAGACCCGAAACCGGGUGACCUAUCCAUGGCCAGGUUGAAGCGAGGGUAAAACCUCGUGGAGGACCGAACCACGUUGCUGUUGAAAAAGCAUGGGAUGAGCUGUGGAUAGCGGAGAAAUUCCAAUCGAACCCGGAGAUAGCUGGUUCUCUCCGAAAUAGCUUUAGGGCUAGCGUCGAGUAUGAGUAGUGGAGGUAGAGCACUGAAUGGGCUAGGGGGCAUAGCGCUUACCGAACCUUAUCAAACUCCGAAUGCCACAUACUUUGAGCUCGGCAGUCAGACUACGAAUGAUAAGAUCCGUGGUCAAAAGGGAAACAGCCCAGAUCGUCAGCUAAGGUCCCAAAGUGUAAGUUAAGUGGGAAAGGAUGUGAGAUUUCUAAGACAACUAGGAUGUUGGCUUAGAAGCAGCCAUUCAUUAAAAGAGUGCGUAAUAGCUCACUAGUCGAGAGAUCUUGCGCCGAAAAUGUAACGGGGCUAAACUUACCACCGAAGCUACGGGCUUGAACUUAGUUCAAGCGGUAGGAGAGCGUCGUAACCGGGCUGAAGUCGUACCGUAAGGAGCGGUGGACUGGUUACGAGUGAGAAUGUUGGCAUCAGUAGCGAGAUGUGGGUGAGAAUCCCACAGGCCGAAAACCUAAGGUUUCCUCAGGAAGGUUCGUCCGCUGAGGGUUAGUCGGGACCUAAGCCGAGGCCGAAAGGCGUAGGUGAUGGACAACUGGUUGAUAUUCCAGUACCACUACCAUCGUUAUUAUCGAUGGCGUGACGCAGGAGGAUAGUG
rnacentral:rRNA from 1 species